rnacentral:rRNA from 1 species
CCUACGGGUGGCAGCAGUGAGGAAUCUUGGUCAAUGGGCGUAAGCCUGAACCAGCCAAGUCGCGUGAGGGAUGAAGGUUCUAUGGAUCGUAAACCUCUUUUAUAAGGGAAUAAAGUGCGGGACGUGUCCCGCUUUGUAUUUACCUUAUGAAUAAGGAUCGGCUAACUUCGUGCCAGCAGCCGCGGUAAUACGGAGGAUCCGAGCGUUAUCCGGAUUGAUUGGGUUUAAAGGGUGCGUAGGCGGCCUUUUACGUCAGCGGUGAAAGUCUGUGGCUCAACCAGAGAAUUGCCGUUGAAACUGGGGGGCUUGAGUAGGUUUGAGGCAGGGGGAAUGCGUGGUGUAGCGGUGAAAUGCUUAGAUAUAACGCAGAACCCCGGUUGCGAAGGCGGCCUGC